AUCUCCCUGCUGCGUUCGCGAGGGUUGCAAAUUCUUUGAACCGAUACGCGUAAGCGCAGGUCCGGCAACAAGGCCGCUGGUGUGAUCGUGGCUCGUCCCACGAACCCGAGGCGACUGAGCCGGGCCGACCUUGAACCCCUGGGUUCAAGAUAGCUUCCCGGACGGCGUGAGCGGGGAGACC
rnacentral:other from 1 species